GACAAGUGCUGCCCCUGCGGCUCCGCGACGCGCGCACUCUCCUCGCGCCCACCCGCGCGCCGGGCCGCGUACCCCCUGGCCCGGCGCCCCCGGACGGUGGACCCCGCCCCCAGAGGGGGCACCAGGUAACCCGCUUCCGAGAGUACCCCGGCAGCCCCAAUCCACACACCCCCGAGUCCUGGUAAAUCUCACGUUUUCUGCCGGCUCGAAAGGAAGAAUUGUAACGGCGAGGGGAGGUUCAUUUCGGCCUCGUGAAGUUUUCUUUCAAACUGGGAUUUGUGGUGAGGCCAGGCGAAAGGAGCGAGGCUGCUAUCCAGGCGCGCGACGCGGAGCUCCGGGAUCGGCGUCCUGGCCGGAGUCUGGGUGUGCGCGUGGACCCACCCACUCGGCUUCGCAAUUAACUGUGCCGUGCAAUUUCAGAAAAGGGCGCCGGAUAGACCGAGGAGAGAGGGGUCCUCGGGAAUGGAUUGAGAAGGAAAGUCAGGUGGUGGCAUUCUCUUUGAUGUGGUGUUCUCUUUUUAAGCAAGAUAUGGAACAAUGGUCUGUUUCUCCUGUCCACCUAGACUGGCACUAUGAAGAAGCAAGGAAGCCAUAAAUGGAACCAUAGUUCCAAAGAAAGCAUUCUAAGAUACCAAAUCCAAUUCAUAAGUAAGGCAUUUUCAUACCUCCCAACUUUGCCUCUGUGGCUACGUUGAUAGUCUGGGGUCUGGCUGGCUGGCAUGGGAGUCCCACAUGGUAGGAAUCUUCUCAUUCCAUCUGCCUUGAACAAUUGUUUCUUUUAACAAUUCUUGAAUGUCACUUUGCAAUUAGAUAAGGCUCUUGUGCCAAUAUCCAUGUCCCUAGAAAAGUAACAUAUUUAUGACUUAAAUUCACACCUUGAUAGAAUAAUAUCAGAUUUCUUCUAGAAAGCACAUUUUGAUGUAAAGCAGAUGAUAUCUCUAUCCCAAAUGAGAAUUGUAAAUUAUAAGCAUUAAACUUAGACUAAGGGGGUGAGGACUAGAGAUGUUUCUGAAGAAAAAAAGCACACAGUUUUAAAGAUGCAUUUAAACCUUUCAAAGUUGCUUUAAAAUGCAGAUGUGUUCAGCAUUUGAGGAAUUGAAUUCCAUUCAUGCAAAAAUGAAGAAACUUUGAGUUGGGUCAAAUGCAGAAAGAUGAUGUGCUCAAAAAAAUAACUCUAGGAGUUCCCGUUGUGGCUCAGAGGUUUCGGGUUUGAUCCCUGGCCUUGCUCAGUGGGUUGGGGAUCCGGUGUUGCCAUGAGCUGUGGUGUAGGUUGCAGACGUGGAUGGGAUCCUGUGUUGCUGUGGCUCUCUUUGUAAACUAAAAUUCUUUCACAACCAAGCAAAAUCUAAUCACAUGUUUAAAAAAUCCUGUAUAGACCAAAAAACAAAACCAAACCAAAAAAAACCACAUUAACAACAGAAAGCACAAAAAAGAAGCCAGGGAUUCAGCCUUCCUCUUUUAUAUAGCCAGAUGGUGGCAUCCUAGGGAAUUAAAAGCCAUACAGCCAUACCUGGAUAGAAUUGGAAAGUCAUUUCCUGCUUGAUGACUCUGAAAGAGGGCACUUGGUGUGGAAGGAGGGAAGUGAAUCAAAGAAAGGUCAUUUACAGGUAGUAACGUCAAAUGUCCUCCCCCAAAUUUCAUGGCUUGUGGUUUAGAGAAAGGUUAGCUUAAAAUAGAGGUUAGUGUGGCAUCUGAACUGUCCCAACACAUGAUAUACAAAGAUGAGAAUAACACCAUCGGUAAUCUCUCCCCCAGCAGCUAUGUUCAAGCUUCAAAAAGGUACUUUUUGACGUCAUGGUGAGGUACGAGACACCAGGGAAAGUCCUACUUAGUAUACUAAGGAUAUUAUCAAAAGGCCUUAGUUUUAGUUUAUGGGGCUGCUUCAUUAGAAGACUGUGUCUUUCAAGUAUACUCUUUUUGAAAGUUUUAGUUUAUGGGGCUGCUUCAUUAGAAGACUGUGUCUUUCAAGUAUACUCUUUUUGAGAAAUAAAUCCUCACACAGAAUCCAUACCACUUUAUUUUAUUUAUUUAUUUAUUAUUAUUAUUUUGUCUUUUUGCCUUUUCCAGGGCAGCUCCCGUGGCAUAUGGAGGUUCCCAGGCUAGGGAUCUAUGUCAGAACCACAGCAAUGCAGGAUCCGAGCGUUUGCGACCUUACACCACAGCUCACGGCAACGCUGGAUCCUUAACCCAAUGAGCAAGGCCAGGGAUCAAACCCGCAACCGCAUGGUUCCUAGUCGGAUUUGUUAACCAAUGAGCCAUGAUAGGAAUUCCCCUUACCACUUUAGAUUGAUGAUACAACUGAGUUCAACAAAGAAGUCAGGAUAUCAGUGGAACUAGGAAGACUAUGUAUCGUUAUUACCAUCACUAUAGGCAUUUAUUUUAUGCCAGGCAUCAUGAUAAGCUCAUUACAUGCAUUAUCUCAUUUAACCCCAACAGUCACUUUUAAGAGAGGUAAUAUUAGCUCCAUCUUUCACAUGAGGACAUUGAAGCUUGGAGACAUUAUUUUCUAGUCCAAGGUCCAAGUGUCAGAGCUGGACUCAAAGGUGUAUUUUAAGUUCUAGAAAGCCAAGGUAAUUGCCACCAGGCUAUACUGUCUCUUAAAUCCAGCCUUCUUAGUAACAUAGUGUCUAAUAUUGAACCAGUUGAAAGGAAACUGAAUGUCUGAGAUUUUCUUAGGAUGUUAUUCAAAUGUGCUAUCAGCAUAGAAUUCUACCAAACCCAGUGACUAUUUGUGAGGGAGACAUGACCGGUUUGACAUCCCAUGCUUUAACACUAGAUAUUGAUCUGUGCCUACCUUGAGCAAUUCUGAACAAGCAAAUGACAAGAGAACCACUGGGGGUGAAUUAAAGAAUAACUACUCUAUAAAGAAUUGAGUAAAGACAUAUGGAUAAGAACUUAACUUUCUUUAAAUUCUAGAUCACCAAGCCUAGUUGCACAUUUUUUUUUCAAAGGGGAUCGUCUCCGAUUUAUUGCUCUAAGAAAUGUUAGCAACAAACUCCCCUUUGCAGACUUAGUUCAUGUAUGUGUGCAAAGAAUGAGUGACUGACUUUCUGUGGUGAAAAUUGUGAUUUUAAAUAGUUAUAUUCUUAAAUGACAUUUUCAAAUUCAAGAAACAGGAUAUUUUGAGGGGAGAGCAGUUCUCAGUUUAUAGUAAAGGUCAAUUUGGACAUUUUGCUAGAACCCAUUAAGUGACGCCUGUGCAAUUAGAAUUUUUAUCUCAGUUUUAAUUUAUAAAUACAGAGAUAUUGGAAUAGACAAAUAAAAACUCUACAAUUUUAA
rnacentral:lncRNA from 1 species